CUGAGUUGACUACUUGUAGCUCCCCAGUGAAGUCAGCAUGAUGCUUUCUGUUCAGAGUACAAAUUUUUAUACCAUGCAUCUGAAGUAGUCCUUUCCCCUAAAAACAAUCACAAAUUUCAGGCUGUUAUUGCGUGCAAAGACUUGGCCAUUAGGGUUUACUCUUCCCUUGCAUGGCCCACUAGGUCAAACAGAGCAGAUUCCAUAAUACCUGACAUCUUUGAUACAAUCUGAAAAACAUAAUCAAAUUACAUUCUGGAAAACACUGGCUUUGCACGAAAACAGAGGUUUCUAAAAUGCUGCCACUUAAAGUCUCACUUCUGUGACUUCUUACCCAUCACUCACAGGAUGCUGAGCUCUGGAUGGCCACAGCAGCUGAGGAUGCAAAGAGCAUGAUGGGCAAGUGAUGGAUGCCUUAGGGGUCAGACCGCAAGGGUCGCUUAGACCUGGCUUCAGUUUUAAGCAGCUUCACCAGGCUGUAAUAAGAAAGUGUUGCUGUUUCCCUCGUGGGCAAAGAAAGGAAAAACUGGAGAAAAACCAACUCCCCACUUAAGUUCCUUACCUCCAAGCAGCCGCCUUCCUGAUCAACUAUUCUAUCACGGAGAAGUCACCCACCAGCAGCUCCCGGUUAUUGGAAAGGUGGAUGGAACAGCAGAGAUCAUCCCACCCAUUCAUUUUCCUGAGGACACCAAGACCAGGAGCUCAGAACAGGCUCGGGUUGCACCGCCAGGGGACGCUGUGUACAAGGGGGCCCCGAUGAUGAGGCCCAGUUCUGCAGCCUCACUUCUCAGCCCUUCUGCCUCAAGAUGCUUGCCUCUCUUUCUGCAUUUUUUCCAAGUUAACACGCAAGACCAAAGAAAGGAAAAAUAAAGGUUAAAAAAAUAAAAAAUACGGCUUUCAUAUACUUAAAGCUCUGGUGAUUAUUACUCAGAACUUUGCAUCUGGAGAACCAAGGGCAGAAACUCGGUGCUAUUACAGCUGUGUCUUCACGUAGUUCAGUGUGGUGUGCAUGGCCUUAAGCCUAAUUGACCCCUCUGUCUUGGUAUUCAUUCUAUCUGACCAAAGAAUAUGUUCUUCCGUUUUCUAAGACUUUGAAACUCAGACCUCUGACUUCACAAUCAUGUUAGGUGAGCAAAGGACACUUACACAAAAGGACAAACGCGCAACACUACCGGAAAGAAUGGAGAGGAUUCUGCUUUAAUAUCUAGCUACCGUUUCCUAGUUGCAGUUAGCAGUAGGUAUCUAUGACGAUGGCUAUAGCUUAAGCUUUCACAAGCCUGUAGUCGCUGGAAACCCACACGGAAGAAAUCUCUGUAGUCUCAACUAAAAAGAAAAAGAAGAAAAAAGUCAAAAGAAAGAGAGAAAGAAAAGGGGAGGAGAGGAAGAAAAGAGGUCGGAGAAAAGGAACAGUCCAGGGCCCCAGCCUGGAAGCAGCAACAAGCCCUGGAUGCCUCACAUCAAAGGCCAAAUGGCAGCAAAGAAAAAGCAGCCUAAAGUUUAAAACUAUCCACGGUAAACUCUUUCCCUACAGGAGCAAACACAACGGAUCAACCCAUUCAAGCAAAGCCAGGUCCCUCCCCUGCCUUGCAUUUCCCAGGUACUGGCUAAGCCUCGGGCGGCUUCAAGGAAAGUUUAAAUUCCUUAGACUCAAGGGACGACAAAGUCACCAGUGAGAAGUGAGCUGAGCGCGGGGCGCUGGGACACCCGGGCCAUCUAAGUUCUCCGGGACGCGGCACCCAGGAACUUGGGGCGCCCCACGCCAGUCCCCUUGCGCCCCCAACCCGACCCAGAUCUUGACAGACCUUGAUUACGGUGGUUUCAAAGAAAAUGGCCCCCCUAUUAGGAGAAAAAAAAGAGAAGAGAAGAGAAGAGAAGAGAAGAGAAGAGAAGAGAAGAGAAGAGAAGAGAAGAAAGAAGCACUGACCUAUUAAAAAGGAAGAAAACUGGCUUGUGCUGGAUGGCGCGUCCCCUGAGGUUUGGACACAUCGACUACAGAACACAGAAGAGCAGAGAGCCAGGAAACCCAGGAGUAAGCACAGCUGGAGUCUGUAAAGUUCUCCCUUCUUUGAUUCAGAGAGAAACAAGUAAGCAGUUGCCCUACUGCUCCAGCUGUUCGUUUCUGUUGUCUGGAAUGUAUAAUAAACGGAG
ensembl:lncRNA